rnacentral:rRNA from 1 species
GGUGAGUAACACGUGGAUAACCUACCUAUAAGACUGGGAUAACUUCGGGAAACCGGAGCUAAUACCGGAUAAUAUAUUGAACCGCAUGGUUCAAUAGUGAAAGACGGUUUUGCUGUCACUUAUAGAUGGAUCCGCGCCGCAUUAGCUAGUUGGUAAGGUAACGGCUUACCAAGGCAACGAUGCGUAGCCGACCUGAGAGGGUGAUCGGCCACACUGGAACUGAGACACUGUCCAG